rnacentral:rRNA from 1 species
GGUGAACGCUGGCGGCGUGCCUAAUACAUGCAAGUCGAGCGAACAGACGAGGAGCUUGCUCCUCUGACGUUAGCGGCGGACGGGUGAGUAACACGUGGAUAACCUACCUAUAAGACUGGGAUAACUUCGGGAAACCGGAGCUAAUACCGGAUAAUAUAUUGAACCGCAUGGUUCAAUAGUGAAAGACGGUUUUGCUGUCACUUAUAGAUGGAUCCGCGCCGCAUUAGCUAGUUGGUAAGGUAACGGCUUACCAAGGCAACGAUGCGUAGCCGACCUGAGAGGGUGAUCGGCCACACUGGAACUGAGACACGGUCCAGACUCCUACGGGAGGCAGCAGUAGGGAAUCUUCCGCAAUGGGCGAAAGCUUGACGGAGCAACGCCGCGUGAGUGAUGAAGGUCUUCGGAUCGUAAAACUCUGUUAUUAGGGAAGAACAAAUGUGUAAGUAACUAUGCACGUCUUGACGGUACCUAAUCAGAAAGCCACGGCUGACUACGUG